CCCCGAAUCAAGUCCUUACAUUUUAACCUGCAUUGCUGAGAAAUUCCUUCUCUGGUCUCAGACGAUUCAGCGCAUGCCAAGAAUGCUGGCUCCGUUUAGGAAUUUGAAGAAAACAACCAUUGGUCCGUCUCCUGUUCUUCAGAGCCGCCCAGAGUUCUCUUGCAUUCCCUAACAUCUGGGAUUGCAACGACCAUGCAAAUUGUCCUCGCUCCUCUGCUCUCCGUGCUCCCCACACCCGGCCCCCUCCCUCCUGUCUUCUCAGCUUCUGACAGGUGUUAGCAAGAAUCUAAAGUUCAAAAGUUUCUCCAGGUCAGGAAUCCAGGAGCAGCUCAGCUGGAUGGUUCUGGCUCAGGAUCUCUCAUGAAGCCGGAAUUAGAUAUUGGCUGUGGCUGUGGUCAUCUAAAGGCCUGACGUGGGCUGGCGGCAUCUUUACUACCUGGCUAUUGGCGGGAGGCAGCGUUGCUCACCACGUGGACUCCUCCACGGGGCUGCUUGAGUGUUCUCACAACGUGGCAGCUGGCUUCCCCCCCCGCCCCCCCCAGCAGGCGAUCCAAAAGACAGCAAGGCAGAAGCCGCAGCAUCUUUAUGACGCAGCCCCAGAAGUCAGGCAUCGUCAUUUCCUCAACGUCCUAUUGGUCAUUGGGCGAGCCCUUUUCAGUGUGGGAGGGGCCAUGCAAAGGCGUGAAAAUCAGGAGACGAGAUGCCUGGGGGCCACGUUGGAGGCUGGCUGUGACAGUACUCUUUUCAGUUCCAUUUGCAGAUGAGUUUUAGAAAAUGUGGCUCCUGGAGAAUUUACACGUACAUGAGUGGUGUGUGUCCUAAUCUGGCAGGCAGUGCUGAUCCGGAUGUGGGCUCCAUCCUGGUGGGUGGGAAGUGGUGUCUCACCGUGGUUUCCAUUGGCAGUUCCCUGGUGACUAAUGAUGUGGAGCGUCUAACUACAGCACUUUGACGACCAAUGUUAACAAAUCCCUUAAGCAAAAGGCCUUUGUCUUCCAGAAAGAGAAACGAGACUCUCCAAGGUGCCUGUUAGGCACUGAAUGUUGGUGUCCCCACCCACCCCACCUCCCCACUCAAAUUCCUAUGUUGAAAUCCUACCGCCCGCCAUGAUGCCGUUAGGAGGUGAGGCCUUUGGGAGAUGAUUAGGUCAUGAGAGUGGAGCCCCCAUGAAGGGGAUCAGUGCCCUUAUAAAGGAGACUUCAGAGAUCUCCCUGGUCCCUUCCGCCAUGUGAGGACACAGCAAGAAGAUGCCCAUCUGCAAACCAGGAAGAGCAUCCUCGUAGACACCACAUCUGCCCGCACCUUGAUCUUGGCCCUCCCAGCCUCCAGAGCUGUGAGAAAUAAAUGUUUGUUGUUGAAGCCGCCCAGCCUACAGUAUUUUUGUUACAGAAACCCGGAUGGAUGAAGACAUCACAUAUGGUUCCGAUUUCGUCCCACUUGCUUUUUCUCCUAGAUAGGGAGAGGUCCGGCGCUUGCUGGGGUUCUGUCCUCCUUGAGACUUAGCCACUCUGCGGGCCCUGGCUGAGAGCACUAGGGCUCCAAGGCUUUGGCUUAUCUGUAGAGACAAGUCGGGAGACACUUUUGCAAGGGGGAGAAGAAGGAAGGGGAGAUGGCAGACGGAGGCCUCCCCCAGAGUCCUGAGGCCCUCCCAGUUCCUCCAGGGAACUGAUUCAGCAGAGGAAGCAAGGCUGUGUUCCAGAGCUUCCUGGGCAAUGAUUUGUAGCUCUGCAAAGGCAUCUGCUGAGUACCGUCCCACUGCUAUUGAUGGGGAUGGCGACAAGGACAAAAGGUCCUCGGUGUGACUAGCCGGGAAGCCUGCCAGGAGCGGCGGAGAGCAGUCUCCUCUCCUGUGGAGAACGCCUCCCUCUGGGGAGACAGGCCAGCUUGACGAGGCUGACCUGCUGCAGGGUGAGGGUGCCCACAGCUGCUGGGCAUCGCCACACUGUAAAGUGCAUGUCGUCAGAGCAAAAACAGGGAGCUGGAGUGGUGCAGGGCCAGCGCACAAAGUGAGGCCUAAAUGCCAGGCUGGGGGUGGGGUGAGGCAUUUUGACUGCAACCCAAGAACUGUGGGUCCCCAGCCACCAGAGGGGUGACAGAGGUGGGAGAGAUACACACGUGUUAGACAGCCGACGCCAGCUGUAGUAUGGAAAGCAGAUAGCAGGGGGCGAGAGGAAGACGGCAGAGGUCAUCUCCGGCAACAAAGCCAAUACAGGACGUGGCCGUGGCCAUGGCCCUCAAGGACACCACAGCCACGUUGGGCCAGGAGACACGUGUUUGUUGUUCCUGUGCUGCCACAAGUAAAAGGUGAGUGCGUUUCAGCAGCAGUUCCUUACUGUGGCCUGAACAAAUAAAGAGCCAAACAAUGAGGCAAAUCUGCUGUGAGGAUGCACUUCAAUGCCCAAGGCCAGUUGGCUGGCUGUCAUGCCCGGCCACAGGUACUUGCCACCCAAAUACCGCAUCUAGAGUUUUCCCUAGCAGGCAAUGUGUGCAUUUGUAGGGCAUGACUGCU
ensembl:lncRNA